AUUAAAAGAUUUUAUUUAAAUAAUUUCAAUAAAAAUUGUAAUCUAUGUUGUUGGUAAUAAAACAACUCCCCGAUUUUUUUUUUAAAGCUAUCAUCAUGACCUUCGCUGGAGCUUUCAAGACCGCGCGCGUGGUUAGUUCAUGUUUAGGUCAAAGAUGGCAUGGAAAGCACAAUUAUGCUAGUGAAAGUUUAUCUUAUUGAACUGUGUCUCUUCGGUGAAGUGCGUAUUUAUUUUCCUUCUAUUCUAUCGUAUUUAUCAACACGUAAAUAACUAUAUUUUUUAAUUCGAUCAUAAGUAUGCAUAUGUAUACAGGAUUAAUACAAUAGCGUAUUACAAAUAGAAAAAUCUAUCAUCAUCAGUAGAGGAUAAUUUUUUACAAUUUUCUACUUCGUUAAACUAACAUUCAUUUAUUUUGUUAUCAUUGCAAAAUGUGAAAGUGAAUAGGUUUCAAGAGGUUUUUAUCCGUUUAAACCUGCACAACUACAACGGUGUACUAGCGCGUUUUAAAGGAAAAUGAUGUGUCCCGUUUCACGUAACGUCUUCAUAAAAGAAUGUUUCUCAUGGAGCUUUGACGUAUAAGAAAAUAUGGAGCACGAUAUAAAAUGAUACAUGGAUUUUGAACAAUGCUUCGUGGUAUACCUACGGUAGGCAAUUAAGAAGACGCAUGCGUAACAAUACGCGCGCAACUCCAUGAAAAACAGCGCGUUAUUUUAAACAGGUAUAUUUACAGACACAAAGUAUCACGGUUAUUAAAUAUGUUUUUUAUUUUACCUAUUAGUAAAUAUGUGCGUUUCUGGACGGGAGGGUGACAAAACCACUUGAUUGCCACCCGAUGGUGCUUCGCUUUCCUGAGAUUCAAAUUUGUACAUCUCAGGUUGAGAUAGUGUUUCGGUCUCAGCAGGAGUACGCAUUCUCGUUUAUCAUUUGGUACUCUAGUUCUGAAACAAAAUUCAAUGAUGUAUCAAAUAAGCUAUUCUUUUUUUUGACACUGGUUAAAUUUUCGGAAAAUCUAUCGUUACUUGUCUCGUCGCCACGUGUACACCGGGGAGUAGUGUUACCAGGAAUGAAGACCGGACGAAAAAGAAAUCACCUUUGGCAUAACAUAGGGAGGUUGGGUUCAAUGGAAUGUCGAUCUAGUAAGAGGCGUGGUAUGUGGCGGUCACAUACCAAACUUAACCGUGAUUUUAUUUUUCGUGCAAAUUCCUUAAGUCACUGACUUGCAUUAUUUCCAUAUACAUAAUGAGAAAUAAAUGAGCAGGCUUAGGUAACGAGAAAUAAGACAUAAUUAAAACUAAACCAUACUUUGAACAAAUUUACUAAGGAGUUUUAACAAAAUUAUAAAUAACACUCUUUUCGUUAUAUGUUGUUUAAUGAAUACAAUGUAACAAAGUUACAGAAUAAAUUAACCAAAAAUCUAACCGGCUCAAAAAAAAAAAAAAUGCCUAUAAUGCGUACUGGUUCAACCGCGGAACCCUUUCGCUCCGUGCAAGAAAAAAAGAAUAUGGAGUUUUGUAUAGUGAGUCAUUCGUAGGCGUGUCUUGGAUUAAUCCCAAGCACCUGUGUCCAUGUCUAGGUAAGCUCUAACUUCCUAGUAAUAACCCCUGAAACCUUCUAAAUCUUCUAGCGGCAACUUGCUCCCUACGCAAACGGUAAUGAUUCUGAUAAUCGCUAUCGUUUCAAUUACAUAUUUUCAGAUUAUGCAAAAUUAUAUUAUAAAUCAUUAAAAGCUCAUUAUACCAAAUGUAUCUUACUGUUUAAUCGCAACUGUGAAUUUUCGUCCAUACAGCAAAGGGGUUGAAAAUUUUGCAGACUUAACAAAUCGAUGUUCUAAAAGAGUGAACACGUUGCACCCUUCGUUUCUCGGACAGACUACGCUCUUAUGAGUAAAGUUGGGGAAGAACGAAUCGUAAUGAGAGGGGUGUUUGUUUCUUCCGAUUUGUCGCUUUAUUGACCACCAUACUGAACAUAUUAAGACGUGGUAUACUGUAAAAUAGAUCAGAUUAUGUUAUUAGAGAAGGGGAUGACUAACGCAAAGCGACAAAUUUAAUAAGGGUAACUGAAUAUACUAUGUCUCACCCCCAAUACCCGUUAUUCAUCCUUUCUUUUCAUGGUCAUGGUUUUCAGGACUAGGAACGCGUUUACUUAUUUACGUGAACACACCCUCGCUUCGGUCAAACGAACACGACCCCUUCAAAAGAGAUGCAACGAAGGUUAGACGCGGAAGAAAUUUUCGCUUGAAAUGUUACGAGGAAAUUGUGUAGAAAUACUAAUGCAUCGGAUACAUUUAUGUGUAUAAAGAUAAAAUAUUAAAUGCAGAAAGCAUUUUCGCUAGAGUAA